UUAUUUUUGAUUUUUUAUUUUCUGUAGAGUUGGAGUUUCGCCAUGUUGUCCAGGCUGGUCUCGAACUCAUGGGUGCAAGCCAUACCCCAACCUCGACCUUCCGAAGUGUUGGGAAUACUGGCAUGAGCCAUGAUGCCUGGCCUCAAAAUGCAUACCCUUAACCACUAUGCUCUCACAUUUUUAGAUGUGGGAUUUCUGUCUACGACGUCGCCCCCACUAAGACCUAGGGCUUAGGUGUCGAGGUGGGAAAGAUCUUGAGGCUUUUCUUCUCAAAAUUAAUCAGAAACGAUGUGAAUUUUAUAUCUCUUUCUGAGGUUUUCCCCAUAAGCUAAUCGGGAUUAGUAGACUUAAAGGUGAAUGACCAACUGUAUCCCUGGUUCACUGGUUAGGAAGAGUACAUAGUCUUUGUGUAUAGGCUAUUUUCCUCGGUAACCUUGGGCAACAUGCUUGACUUCUCCAAGCCAGUCUCCUUUGUGAAAGGUGAUAUACUUACAAGACAUUAUAUUAAAUGAGAACCCAGGCAGGUUACCUACCCUACCAUGACACUGGAAGUAUUCUUUGCCUUAAGAAAAGGAGAAUUGCUGGUUGGUUCCAGGUCCGGUGGGUACCCUCAUUUCCCCUGGGCAAUUUUACUGUAAAAAUAGACCAAGGAUCUCAAGGCCCAGUGGCUUUUGCCUUCUGGGAUACUUUUUUACCUCCCUGUUUAGUAGUAAGGGUCACAUUUUAAAUUGCAGCUAUCACACUGGAGGGAUCAGAUCAUUUAGAACUUUGACUGCUUAAAUAUUACUCUUGCUAAGAUCUUGAGCUUGUCUCAUGUUGACAGACUAGUGAAGUUGGUUACGUUGUCUGUCUCCUCACUGGAGGGAGAGAUUCAGAGUUGCCCUGUCCAACCCAGUGCUAUCUCUGGAAAGGGUUGGAUUGAAAUCUAGUCUGCCUUCAUUCUGAGGUAUAAUCAUGAGGGUUAGGUGAAAGGGUCCCGAGUGAGAAGAUGGCAUGGGUCCUAGGGUGGGGAGCCCGAUGCCAAGUCAGACUUCACUCGGUAUGUUUAUUCAAAGCCCCACUUUCACUCGUAGCAUAUCAUAGGUGGUCUCUGCAAGUUGCUGACCCUGAUUCAGACUGUUCCAUAAAAGUCAGACACUUGGUUUUAGUUCCCAAACUGAUUUUGAUGACAUUCUUGACUGCAGGGCUUGGAGUUAACCCCACUGGGCCUGAGUUGUCUCUCUGUAAAGUUACACAUCAUUUCAGACUCAAAGGCCUCUAGCAUGCAGGGUCUGGUGUCAUAAUAGGCACCAAUGGGAACCAUUACUGUCAUUGCCUUUUUUGGCUUUAAUCUUCCCAAUUGUAAGUUCCUUUCAUGUUUAAAACAAGUUUAAAAGACAGGGGGACUUAGGCAUGCUCAGGCAGUCUAGCCUUUAAUGUAAGAAUUUCAAAACAUAAAGGAAAAAAAACUUUUUUUUUUAAGCAGUACUUUGUGAGUUACAAGACAGCAGCAGCUCCUUAGUGUUGAUUGCCGAGGCCUUUUUGGUUUGAAAACUCUGCUUCCUUUGUGAAUUUGGUGUUAGGAGUUCUUAUUGUUAUUCUGCAGCCUUUACUAUUGUCCUUUAUUUACUGAACACAGUGAAUACCAAGCACUGUUUAUUAGAGGUUAGGAGUAGGGGCAGGUGAUUAAAAAAACAAAAAAGCUAAUAAUCUCCUCAAGCAAUUUCUGGCCUAAUAGAAUUAUAGUAGACAGUGAAGUAUCUAAACCCAGGGAAUCAGAUUGAGGCACCAUGUCCAUCGCCUUGAGAAUUAAUAGGCUGCAUUUCUGGGUUCUCCUUUUUUUUUUUUUUUUUGCCCAACUGAGUCUUUCUGUGGACUUACAUGGAACUUCUUAUUCUCUUAAAUCAUUAAGUUACUUGACAAUAUUCUUGGAUUUGGAGAAACUGGAUGUAGGGCCGUAUGAAAAAAUCAUUCGAAAUCAGAUUUAGGGGUAUAAGGUUGGAUAGGAAUGUUUUAGAAAGAAGAAUGUAAGGCAGAUAACUAAUUUGUCACAUCCAAAGUAUAAAACUGCUACUUUUUCCCUAGAAAAGGGAAGCUCAUUUUAGGCAGCCUAAACCAGUAAGAUUUUCUUCCUCCUCCAAGUGCAGAUUUUUGUACCUUUCGUUUGUCAAAACAUUCUUUGGCCCUAUGCAUGCCAGAGUGAUAUAGAAAGGAAGUUACCACAUUUUUUUGAGAACAAAUCACUCCUGAUAAAAUUUCUUAGACAAUUGAUAAUCAUUUUAAGAAGAAAUUUAAUUGUAUUUAGCUCUGUGUCUCGCCCCUUUGGUGUCACUCUUCUACCUCUUCCAUCACUAUAGCUAAAUAUUUAGAAGUAUAUCUUGACACCUAGCACAAAUGUUUUGGUUAAGUAUCUUAAAACUGAUGGAUGGUAUGGCUGGGGCAGCAUGGCUCACGCCUGUAAUCCCAGCACUUUGGGAGGCCAAGGCGGGUGAAUCACCUGAGGUCAGGAGUUUGAGACCGGCCUGACCAACUUGGAGAAACCCCGUCUCUACUAAAAAUACAAAAAUUAGUCAGGGGUGGUGGCGCAUGCCUGUAAUCCUGUCUACUCAGGAGGCUGAGGCAGGAGAAUUGCCUGAACCCGGGAGGCAGAGGUUGCAGUGAGCUGAGAUCGUGCCAUUGCACUCCAGCCUGGGCAACAAGAGCAAAACUCAGUCUCAAAAAACAAAACAAAAACCUGUUGGUAUAGUACGAAAGAAACGUCUUGCAGUUUUCUGUUGCAGAGAAUUAAUUAGAACCAACCUGUUGGAUUAUACACAUUCACCUUUCAGAAUCCUUUCUUCUCUGUGGAAACCCACACUCUCAGCAGUGUGUGGGAACACAGUAGAUUCUUAAGGAAUGCUUGUUGAAUGUUGCAGUCUGCAUCUUCUUGAAGUAACAGAACUGUUGGUAGCUGUUUAAAAGUAAAAUGUGUCUAAAGACCUUUUGGAAAUUAAGAUGUAAGAGAUUAAUGCACCAAAGCAGUCUCUUAAUUACUUAAAAUGAAUUAUUUCAAAGAAUCUUUAAUUGAAUUUUCUGUGAAGUCUGGAAUUUGUAAAUUAUGUCCCUUUGUUCAAACCAGCCCCUGAAAAGAACAAUUAAGGCAAUUAAGAUAGCAUUAAAGUUUUCAAUGAAGUUGGCAUUUUCUGUGUAUUAAGAUUAGAUGUUAGCUGCUGAAGUUUGUGGAGGUCGGACAUAAAGCUUCCAACAUCAGUAAUGCAAAAUUGUCUUGAACCUGCGAUAAAAUUUUGUUGGACUUUUUUUUCAUUGCAGUGAAAAGGGCCAUGUAGCAUGCCUCAAAGCCAGGUUACUCAGCCUAGUCCUUGUUUAAGCAGUUUUGAUAUUCAUUCAAGUUCAAUUUUCUCACUGAUUUUAUGAUUAAUUUCUUGGAAAAUUUGAAAGUUUUCAAGAAGUAAAAAAUUAAUAUCUUGUUAUCCCAGUAUAUAGAGAUUAACUUCAGUUCAAUGUUUGGUGCAUUUUCUUCUAGUCUUUUUUUCAAUGUAUAAAUAUUAAAGUUAUUUCAUAGUUGAGAUCAUACUGCAUAUAUGAUUACUGUAUCUUGCUUUUUUCAUUUUAACGUCGUGAGCAAUUUUCCCAUGACAUUACAAACUGUCUUUGAAAAAUGGAAAACAUUUGGGGCUGUCAGCAUAACUGAAAAUGUUUUCUUGGUGUGACACAUGUAUCUUUGUAAUUGGUUUGAUUUAGUGUGCUUUAUUUCAAUAAAAAUUCAGUAUUAUAAUUU
rnacentral:lncRNA from 1 species